GAUGCGAAAUUUUUUUUAGUGAAUGCAAUCAAAUACUUACAGCUUAAAAAAGACGAAGAAUUACAUAGCAUUCCAAUAAACAAUGUUUUAAAGUUGGUUGUUGACAUUACCGGUAUUGACAUUUUAUAGUGCGGUUGUAUUGAACUGGUUUAUGUAGAUCGACGAUAAAAAAAAUAUUUCUAAAAAUAAUGAGACGGUCUUGACUUUGCCCCCUGUACAAAACAAAGCCCCACACAAAAAGAGAAUUCAAUUAGACGACUUCGAUAAAUGUGCCAUAAGG